UACGGGGGGGGCAAGCGUUGUUCGGAAUUACUGGGCGUAAAGGGCUCGUAGGCGGCCAACUAAGUCAGACGUGAAAUCCCUCGGCUUAACCGGGGAACUGCAUCUGAUACUGGAUGGCUUGAGUUCGGGAGAGGGAUGUGGAAUUCCAGGUGUAGCGGUGAAAUGCGUAGAUAUCGGGAGGAACACCGGUGGCGAAGGCGGUUCUCUGGGCCUUACCUGACGCUGAGGAGCGAAAGCGUGGGGAGCGAACAGG
rnacentral:rRNA from 1 species